AACGAACGCUGGCGGCAGGCUUAACACAUGCAAGUCGAACGCCCCGCAAGGGGAGUGGCAGACGGGUGAGUAACGCGUGGGAAUCUACCCAUCCCUACGGAACAACUCCGGGAAACUGGAGCUAAUACCGUAUACGCCCUUCGGGGGAAAGAUUUAUCGGGGAUGGAUGAGCCCGCGUUGGAUUAGCUAGUUGGUGGGGUAAAGGCCUACCAAGGCGACGAUCCAUAGCUGGUCUGAGAGGAUGAUCAGCCACAUUGGGACUGAGACACGGCCCAAACUCCUACGGGAGGCAGCAGUGGGGAAUAUUGGACGAUGGGCGCAAGCCUGAUCCAGCCAUGCCGCGUGAGUGAUGAAGGCCUUAGGGUUGUAAAGCUCUUUCACCGAUGAAGAUAAUGACGGUAGUCGGAGAAGAAGCCCCGGCUAACUUCGUGCCAGCCGCCGCCGUAA
rnacentral:rRNA from 1 species